rnacentral:rRNA from 1 species
UACGUAGGGUGCGAGCGUUAAUCGGAAUUACUGGGCGUAAAGCGUGCGUAGGCGGUUCUCCAAGUCCGUUGUGAAAGCCCCGGGCUCAACCUGGGAAUGGCAGUGGAAACUAGGGGACUGGAAUCUGGCAGAGGGGGGUGGAAUGCCGCGUGUAGCAGUGAAAUGCGUAGAGAUGCGGCGGAACACCGAUGGCGAAGGCAGCCCCCUGGGCUGAGAUUGACGCUCAGGCACGAAAGCGUGGGUAGCAAACAGG